GCCAAGGGCAGAGCCCAACAAACAGAAUCCAAACCCCACAAAAACCCGCCCCGAAGAUCCUCCUCUGAUCCUUUCGACUGCUGGGACUUGAGGAAUUGGUAUCCGUGGCCACCAACCCACAGGGCGGACCUUCCAGCGGCCGCCUAGUCCAGCUCCAAACUCGUUGCAGAUUCAAUCGGGCCGACUCUGGCCCAAGCUACGGCCCUACACCCCGGCGAGUCUACGAUUAACCAUUUCAGAUAAAAUAUCAUGAUCGGUUUGAAUCCGGUUGCUCGAUGGCUUCCCGAUCUGUAAACAAUCGAUAGUAGGGACAGUGGGGGAUCUCAGUUCUCCAUAAGUCUGCCAGCAGAAUGGAUUACAUAGAUGGUAUUGCUGCUGAACUGGUUUCAGCUCCACCUUGUUUAACGACACGUCCACGCAUGGCAGGCUAUCACUGCAUGCGAAGUGAACCGGCUUUACCGUUGAUGUUUGAGACACAGGCUCUGGUGUUAUCCUUACCUAAGCUUCCAAUGCUGAUUCCAUGUCCUGGCCCACAGUUGACAUCGUGUACAAAUACAUUUGAGCACCCAGUUUGUAUGGAAAUACAGUCAUCACCUGCACCAUGGUUGAAAUUCAGAACAAUACUUAUUAACCAACUCAAAAACUACUUUAUGGUGUGAGUUAUAUAUGUUUGUGUUUGGUUUUGCUCGUGAUGGAGCUUCUCAUGUUCUAUAUCCACCCUGUGUUCUGCUAAUUAGAGCUUCAAUUAAGGGUUGAUAGCAAUGAUGCAGUGAAAACUUUGUGUUUGACACGUGUCAUGUAGUAGAUGGGGUGUAGCAUUGGUAGUUUGUUUGCUUGCCAUGUGAUAGGAUAAUGCUAUGCUCUUUUAAAACUAAUAUUUACUUUUUUUGUUUUGAUUUGUUUUAAGUAACUUUAUGUUAGUUGACCUUAUAAGGUUUUUUUUUUUAGGUUUUUUGUGCUUAUCUAAUCCUUGAAAAGAAGUGUUGGAGCAACGGUUGAGUUGUCUCCAUAUAACCUCAAAGCCACAGGUUCAAGCACUGGAAUCAGCCACUGAUAUAAUUACCAGGCUUAUUCAAUCAUUGAGACUCAAUUGUUUUAAUGAUCAUUGUAAUGCUGCAAUUACUUAUACAUAAUUGAAGUCUUGAAGUAAUUACCACAUGCUAAGUUGCUGGUAUGAAUCAUCACAUUUUUGGAAUUCUGAAGGUGAAUUCCAUCUGUAUUUGGGCUGUUACCAGGGGAUGAUAUGCUAACAUCAUGGACCAGAACCUCAUUGCAGUUGUCAAACUUGAGGUGGCAUUGAGGACUAUUUUGAAUUGUUAUGCCUGUCACUACUGCAUUAAAACUCCCAUAAAAUCUUAAUGCCUGUGCAAAUUAGAAAAACAAGAUUAUGUUAAAACAGUCCCUAAACUUGAUUCAAAACUGCUCUUUGUGGAGUUUCAAACUGAUCUUACAGUUGGCUUGAUGCUUGGCAUUUUCCUCCCCAUAGCACUCUGAACCUAGUAUAGUUGAAGCAUAGUACAUUAUUAGUUUCAAUUUGUUGAUAUUUUGUCAUGUAAAAUUUUGUAGAAGUAACAAAGAUAAUUUACCGGCACCGGUGGUUUCCAUGUGUGGUUUAAAGGGACUAUGAGCUUUUCUUCACCAUCUAUAGGGUUAUCAAAUGGCUGGUCUUCCCACCAAACUGAGCCUCUUCCAUCAAUGACACCCUUUCCUUGAAUGGUGAUUCCCACCAGCUUUGUAAACUCCAGCCAUUGUAGCAGUCCUCCACACCAAGCAUUUGCAUUUGUUGGAGCAAUAAUUGUACCAUCAAGCUGACACAAAUAAUUGUACCACCCUUAUUAGCCUAGUUUGCGUUGUUGCUACAUUAUUUUUAUUUUUAUUUCUAAUAUUUAGAACUUAUAUAAUAGACAGAAUUGUUAUAAAUGUUCUAGAAAUCAUAAGGACUGUUAGUUGAAAUAAAACAAUAAGACUGGUUUAUGUAAGUCAAUACUCAACAGCAUAUUUCAUCAUUUUGUCUACUCAA